rnacentral:ncRNA from 1 species
GAGCGCCGUAUGCUGGGAAACUCGCACGUACGGUGUGAAGUGNAGCUUUGGGAAGGUUAUACUUUAAC